rnacentral:rRNA from 1 species
UACGAGAGCCUCGAGCGUUAUCCGGAAUUAUUGGGCGUAAAGGGUGCGUAGGUUGUUCUGUUAGUCUUUUGUCAAAGCCCGGAGCUUAACUUCGGAUAUGCAAAAGAAACGGCAGAACUUGAAAGUGCGAGAGGUAUACGGAACUCAUGGUGUAGGGGUAAAAUCCGUUGAUAUCAUGGGGAACACCAAAUGCGAAGGCAGUAUACUGGCGCAUAUUUGACACUGAAGCACGAAAGCGUGGGUAGCGAAUGGG